GGUGAAUAUGAAGCCUUGUGAGACUAUCCACGUCAUCAAUUAAAAUCAGCCAAUAGGGUGUCUGAAAUUCGCCACGUCAGCAGCCCGCAAAUUUAUCUGGGCUUAAAGUUUAGCCGGCCCGGUUCUGAUUGGUUUCGUCGAGCCCGUUUAGCCCAAAUACGGUAGAUACGGUUUCCAUGUUAUCCUCUCUUCCAAAACUCAACGUGGCCGUCUCGGCUUUUCAGAGUCUCAUCUCUUCGCCUCCCCUUUCGUUAUCUCUUCACCUUCCCUAUGGUUCAGUGUAUUUGUUUUAAUUCUACCAUAAUUGUUAAUCCCAUUGAAUCCAGAUUCCAUGUCGUCUUCUCCCUUUCAUUCAUCUCAAAUCUAUAAAUAUAAGCAGGUUGAGAGUAUGAUGGAUGCUCAGCACGAUUGUCAGUUUACCAUUUUAUUAAGCUAGAAAGAUUUUCAAAAAUGUCUUCCUCCGAUGCUGUUUUUUUGCACUCUGCGUUUGAGGCUCUCCACCUCUGAAGAUCUGGCCAGUUUAUUGUUGCCAAAUUAAUCUGUUUUUGGGACUUGAAAAACAUCAAGAAACAUGGGUAAUUCAUGGAAAUCACUCUACUUCUCUUGAUGAUAAGAAUUCGGUGAUACAUGGAUUCAUCCUGCUGGUCGCGCCUCUUACUACCGUCCGUCUUUGCAAGGAGGUUCAGUCGUGAAGUUAAUUGGAGAGAGGAAGGAGCUGUCAUUCCAGUCAAAAAUCAGGGACACAUAUAUGGAAGUUGUUGGACGCUCUCGGUGGUUGGAGCGGUGAACGGUAUAAACAAGAUCAAGACCGGAGAAUUGAUAUAUUUGUGGGAACAAGAGUUCAUAGACUACUACAAAGAGGACGGCAAUGGUGGAUGUGAUGGAGUAUUGGGAAAAAGAUUCGAUAUGCAUCUCGCAGAGCGAGAGCUUACACGAGAAAAAUAGUGAGAGGAAGAUUCGUGAAAGCUGGUGACAAUUAUGACUAUGACCCACUAACCAUGAAAUCAAUGAGUUUUCUCUUCCCCUAAAACAAUUUUUAUUUUGAAUCGAGGAAAUCAACAUGUUGAGGCAUGGAAACGUUGGAGACCUGCACAAAGAAUGCUUAGAUGUAGUGAAAGUGACGAAUUGGGUGGAAGGCCAAAAUGGGUGAAAAUAUAGCAAUUUUGCUUCUUUUUUUUAAAACAGAGCUCUUUCUUAUGUUAUUUACAUUUUUAAUAUUUCUAAUCAUUAUGUAAUAGGGAAAAUCCUAACUACUUUUAUUUGUAAACUUAGAAAAGAAUAACUCUAAAAUAAUUUAUGUUAUAUACGUAUAUAUAUUUUUUUUACAAAA